CUGACAUGUAUUGAGUUGUUGAUAAACACUAGCUUUUAUUAUUUUAGAUGGGUGGUUCAGGCAGGCUUCUUGGAGGAGGGAACCAAAGCUUGUUUAUGAAGCAGGAAGAAGACCAGGGAGGCCAGAGUAGAGUGAGGGAGGAGGAGAGUGGGGUGAGGGAGGAGGAGAGUGGGGUCAGGUAGGGUCAGGCCACGCAGGGACUUGAAGGUCUUUGAUGGGAGUUUGCAUCUGGCCAAGAGGGAUGGGCAGCCGGGGGAGGUUUUAAGCAGAGGAUACACAAAACCUGGUUUCCACUUUUAAAAGUCGGCUUUGUAGCAAGGAGCAUGAACUAAAAGGGGUCAGAAGUAGAGGCUGGGUACGGUGGCACACGCCAAUAAUCCCAGCAGUUUGGGAGGCCGAGGCAGAAGGAUCAUUUGAGGCCAGAAGUUCAAUACCAGCCUGGGCAACACAGUGAAACCCUGUCUCUACAAAAAAUUCAAAAAUUAGGCCAGAUGCAGUGGCUCAUGCCUAUAAUCUCAGCACUUUGGGAGGCUGAGGAGGGCAGAUCACCUGAGCUCGGGAGUUCAAGACCAGCCUGGACAAUAUGGCGAAACCCCUUCUCUACCAAAAACACAAAAAUUAGCCAGGCACAGUGGCACGUGCUUGUGGCCCCACCUACUCGGGAGGCUGAGGUGGGAGGAUUGCUUGAGCCUGGAGGUGGAGGUUGCAGUGAGCUGAGAUCCUGCCAC
rnacentral:lncRNA from 1 species